rnacentral:rRNA from 1 species
CACGUAGGGUGCGAGCGUUGUCCGGAAUUAUUGGGCGUAAAGAGCUCGUAGGCGGUGCGUCGCGUCGGCCGUGAAAACCUGCAGCUUAACUGUGGGCUUGCGGUCGAUACGGGCAUCACUGGAGUUCGGCAGGGGAGACUGGAAUUCCUGGUGUAGCGGUGAAAUGCGCAGAUAUCAGGAGGAACACCGGUGGCGAAGGCGGGUCUCUGGGCCGAUACGGACGCUGAGGAGCGAAAGCGUGGGGAGCGAACAGG